rnacentral:rRNA from 1 species
ACCCCCAAAGCUUGACAAGUUAAAACUUUCAACAACGGAUCUCUUGGCUCUCGCAUCGAUGAAGAACGCAGCGAAAUGCGAUAGGUAAUGUGAAUUGCAGAACUCAGUGAAUCAUCGAAUCUUUGAACGCACAUUGCGCCCUGGGGCAUUCCU